UUUGAUUUAUUAACAAAUUGAAUACUAGAACUGUAUGUGCAUUUUAACAAGUCAUGGCUUACUAGAUAAUGCCACAACUUAUUAUCUAAAUUAAAACACUAACUUUCCUGAUAAAAUGCUGGAUUCUCUACCUUCUAAGUUGAAAGGUAGUCCAAAACCACAUUACAUAAUAAAGAGAAUUCACGUUUAAUCAAGUAUUUAAACUUCUAGUAUCUUUUUGAUAGCAAAACAGAAUUAUUUGAAUUUUCUUACAAACUGUCAGCCUUUUGAAAAAUGAUAAAGUUGGGUAAAGAUACUUGGAAGAAAUAAGAUCUUUACUAAAAAUUUGAGUGGUUACUUCUUGCUAAAAGAGUUACUUCACAUUAAAAAUAGACUCUGAGAGAGAGCUUUGUAUCUCUUUUGCUACAUUCAUUCCAAACCUUUGUUGUAUGGGUUGAAAAAGCGUUGGAUAACUUCAUAUGUGUAUUUUAAGAUCUACACGAUGAUUUUGCUCUUAUUUUUAUUGCCCAAAGUUCUCAGUAGUAAGCUCUGUAGAGUAAAAGACUCAGGUCAAGAAAUCUGGCUGAUAUCAAAUGAGGUAAGAAUUUUAUAGUCUGGUGCAUUUCAAGCCUAGUUGCUAUAUUAUGGUAGAUCUGGCAUGGUGAAAGCUGCUUGUCAUUUUUCUUUACCUUAUACCUCGCUAGAUUGAGCCUAUAGUGAGGAAGGUUUCAAAAUAUGUUGCAUGCAUCAUCUGACUUUCCUAUGAAUAGAGAUAAGGAUUUCACUUACAUGGAAAUUCAGAUCGUAAGAACAAAGCUGGCCAUCAAGAAAGGUAGAGCUGAUUCUUGACUCUGGCAGUCCUUGUGCUGGAGCAACUCCUUCCUGCUAGAAAAGGCUUCAACCACUUGUCAAAAUGUGAUGUUAGAAGAGGUGUUGCUAGGCAAUUGAAAUAAUGAUGUCCUGCAUCUUUAUUUGUUUCUUGAUAGCAAGAAGCUAUUUAAUGACUGGCAACCAUGGGAAGAUUCAUCACAUCCCUAAAACAAAUGGGUAUUAUAGCUCAGAAUAAAUAUUCUCAGAGACGAACUUGUUUGAAGAAGGGAGGUUUUUCCCCAGACUGAAAACCGGUUCUAAAUAACAAUAAUAAAGAUUGAGUAAUGAGAAGCAGAAUUCAUACAGUCUGGCAGUUAAUGUUCCUGAUUAACAUGCAUAUUACUCCCAAGUGCCUCUCCAAGUUGGCAAGCACAACAUAGCUUAAUUACUUUGGGUAUUUUGAAGUUUAAAUGGGGCAGGAUUAUUAAUGGUGGAAAGUAACUCAUCUGGGAAAAUAGGAGCUCUGAAUUAGUGCUUGCAGGUUUUUCUGUCCUUUUUUGUGUGUGUGAAUCAGUUUCCCCCACUCCUUCCUCCUGACAACCUGCAUGAAAUGUCUGUGCCUAUCCAGUUCUGAUGAACAUGACUUAGACUGUUCUCACUUGAAGCACAGUUCUGAGUGCAUGAAUCAGUAUUUAAAUGAUCAUCAGGAUGGCUCAGAUUUGGCUUUAAAGUAUAAAUUUUUUUCAGUAAUCGAUACUGAUGGAACAGUUUAAAAUUGUUUGUCAAAUGUAGCUGAGUCUAAGGAUUUAUGGCAGUUGUGUGAGUCUGAUUUCUCAAGGUCCCCAGAAAUUUGCAGGAUAUCAGUGUCAUCUGUUACUGUGAUGUUUCUAGGAGAUAUGCAGUGAUGCAGCAAUUAAUUUUUAUACAGAUCUGUACAUUGGUGGUGUGAACACAUGGGAAGACCUGAAUCUCUUGUAUUAGAAAAUAAACAUAAGAACAAAGAAAGGGUAGAAAUCUAUUAAAGGCUAAUGAUGUUCAUACAAGUUCUGAUCUAGAGCAGCAAUCUGGUUUUUAAGCAAAGAGGUGGUUCGUGUAUCUUAAAAUAUCAUUCAUUAAGUAUUUAGAAGAAAAUUUGAAGCUGAAUUAGAAAUGAGCUACUAUAGCUUUUCUUCUGUCUUAUACACCCUUGGUACGUAUUUGUGCUCUUAUUACAAACUAUUCAAUUUUUAUAAGCAUUUGAAAAAAAAAUCCAUAUUUAGACUUAAAAAAAAAUGCCCUUGUUUUGCCUAAAGCUAAGUGUCUAUCUUGAUAAACGUUAAAAUUUAGGUUAUGCUAUUGGGAAUAAUUUGAAAUCUCACAGAUAAUAUAAUCUUAGUUUGAAAUCACAUGUUCUCUAUGCAGUGUAUUGCUGUUUGAAUGCUUUUACUUGGGAAUUACCAUGCAGCUCUACUACUGAUAUUUUAAAAAUAUUUUUAGUGACAAGACGUGUGAAUGAAAAACUGAUAAUGGUGAGUGUCAAUACUUGGUCGCUACAUCUAAAAGUUGUCUUUGUGUGUGUGCUGCUACUGAGGUGAGCAUUUCCAAGUACUGCAGCUUGCAGUGAGGCCUUGAUUCACCCCAUGGAAAAUAACUGAACUAGUUUUAGUUAAAACAGCAGAAACUUACUUGGUAACUGUAGCUGAGAGUGAACUGAAGAUUAUGCUUGAUAGCUGGAGAGGAGCAGGUUCUGCACGUUGCCAGAGACAAAUAAAGCAAUGAAUGUAGUCCCUUCGUUUAUUGUGCUGGAAUCAAGCUCUGUUCUACAGGAAAGGAAGCAGUGAGAUGAAACGUGCAGUUUUUGGAGCCUCCUGGUUGUGCGGCUGCAUUGCUGUGGCUUUGCAGCAGGCUGAUGAAGGCAGGGCAUGGGAACAGAGUAUUCUUGAGAGCAGAUGUAACAUGAGGAAAGAGAUAAGGAAGAACUCGUAGAGCCCGGGUAUCUGUAAGCUGCCAUGUCAAGAUACGGUGUGCACAGCAACUUUCCCCACGCCGUUUCUGUUGUAUGGUGCCCUCAGUCUGCAGCAGGAGGAGUCUCAGUAGAAAUUGCAUGCGUGGUUAAAACAGAGGUUGUGCAGAGCAGACAGACAAACCUGCAGCGUAUUGCAUUGGUCACUGCAUUGUUCCCAUAUCAGUCCUGCAGCUGUGUGCCACUCUGCUCAGAGCAGCUUGGAGGUGGGGUGGGAGGGAGAGCCCCUCCACAGCCCCCUCCCUGCCCCACUCAUACUGAACCCUGUGACUGCAGAGAUGGGAGUCUUAAAACCAGCCUGAGUCCUGGUGUAACCUAGGCCCAACUGGGCCAUAUUGUUCAGGUGACUGGAGUUUGAUUGCUUAUUGAUUAUCUCUGCAUUGUGCAUAAAGAUUGUUAGGUGUAUCCAUGAUACUGCUAUGGUAGCUCUGAAUCCCUGAAGGGUUUAAUUGCUUGUUAGUUGAAUGACUGUAGCAUUGGAGCUGCGGGGCCACACUGUGCUGGAAUUAAAAUAUCUUAUCAACUUGGCCACGCACUAUUUCAGUUAUUCAGCGUUGAUAAGGUUUGUUUUUUACAGACUUCUCACUCUUCUCCCCAUCUGUGUGGAAAACAUGUAGGUGUGAUUAUGAUUUUUGAAGUAGAAAUUUAGUUCUUUGGUUGUUUCCUGGUUUUACAUAGACUUUUUAUAUAUGCACCAUUCUUUUGAGUAAAUAUUGUUUCCACAUUUAUAAUAAACGUUAGAUAUUUUAGAAUAUUAGAAUAAGAACUGACUUGGCAAUAUUCAACACCCAUAAUAAUAAAUGUUAGUUGUCAUCCUCUUUUUUUGUACUUCUGUGCAGUCUGAACACAAGGAGGGAAUGAAAUAUGCUAAUGUGAAGAAAUAACAUCCAAAAUUUGUUUUCGGAAGUAUUUACUUAAAGCUGCUUGUUAGAAAGAUGGGAAUAGAAAUCUUGAGAUUUUUCUGGUGCUCUUUUGCUUGAUUCUAUGUCUUGAACCAAUAUCCUGCCUUAUUUUAAGGAAUUCAGAUUUUCAUAGUCAUUAAAUGGUUUGGGUUUGGGUUGGAAGGGACCAGUUCCAGGCCCUUGCCAUGGGCAGGGACACCUCCCAGCAGCCCAGGCUGCCGAAAGCCCCAUCCAGCCUGGCCUUGAGCACCUCCAGGGAUGGGGCAGCCACAGCUUCUCUGGGCAGCCUGUGCCAGCGCCUUACCACCCUCUGAGUGAAAAAUUUUUUCCUCGUGUCUAGUAUAAAUCUCUUUUAGUUUAAGACCAUUCCCCCUUGUUUUAUCAUCGUCUGCCCCAGUGAAGAGUCCUUCUCCAUCCUUUUUAUAAGACCCCUUCAAGUAUCAAAAGGCUGUUACGCAGAUGAAGAGAUGUGUUAGGCAUGGAUUGUGAAUUAAGCAAUCCUCCGUUUUCAUUUCAUUAUGCUGCAGACUUACUCUCUAGCUUUAGACAAGUCUUUCAGUUUCUGGAGUUUAGAAUUCAGGGUGGUUUGGCAAAAAUACUGUAUGUAUCUUUAUCUGAAUUUACACUGGGUAUGAAUACAGUAGUAAUGGGAUUGCAGAAGGUAUUUAGAGUACGGAAGAUUUAGUACUUCGUGUUUUCUUCUCUGUAGAAUGGGGUUGAUGCCUGCUUAUUUUACAGAAGUGUCCGUAAGAAUUAGUUUGUAAAUCCAUGGUAUUAGCUAUUAUUAACCUGAGGAGGUGGUGUGAUAGGGUAAGUAGGACAUUAGGCCACAGACUGAAGACUGAAUUCUAUCCUUGAAGCUCUCACUGACCUGUAUGCUCUCUGAUGAAUCAUUUUGCCUCUUCUGUGCCUUAGAUUUUCUAUUGUGAAAAAAAUUAUAGAUCACUCGCUGAAAAGCACUGUGAUGUAAAUAUCAUUACUGUGAAAGUAAAAGCCCUGUGUUUCCGAAUAAAGCUAUUGUAGAAAAUUAAAUAGCAGCUUCAACUGAACAUGUAGCAAUUGCUUUAACUUCUUGGCUAUAAUUUGUGGAAUUUGUCUGUACCUGUAUAUUUGUUCUUUUUCUUAUGACAUCAAGAAUAAAUAGCAGCCCUAUUUAAGCAUAUAUUUGUAAAUAAGAAUGUUUUUACUUUAAAAAUCAUAUUUUCCUUUUUUUCAAAAAAGCAUCAAACCAGGAAUUCUCCAAAAUCUUUUUUUUUUUAAAUAUGCAGCAUGAAAUAAUGGAUAGACAAGGAAAUAUUUGCACAGAAGUACUACAGGGGAAUAGAUUCAGACUGAACCUAUUAGACGUUUCUGAGGAACUGUGAUUUAAUCCUUUCAUAUCUUUCAGAUUUGUCACAGAUACGGUAGUGGAGCAGUAUAAAACAAAACAACAGGCAAACUGAAAAGUGUUUAUCUGGAUAUGAGUCUUACCCCAGCGUGAUGUAGCAUCACUUCAGGAGCAAAGGAUCAACAAAAUCACUUCAGGAAAUGCAUUUUGUGCCUCUGAGUCUUGCUUCCCCAAUGUCAGUUUUCUAUCUUAAAUACCAUUUCUGUUCUGCUCCUCAUCUGAGACAGAUAUUUAAAAUAUCUUUGGAACAAAGUGUAAAUCGCUUUCCAUGUGCAAACAUCUGAAUAUUAAUUUAUGGUAUAAUUCUUAGAUCUGUGAGUUAUUUCUAGUCCUGGCUUUCUGAAGCUGUGUUUGCUAUUGACUAGAAAACUUAUGUUUGUGUUGGUACCACAGCUGAUUCCACUGUUAGGAUGAUUAUGUGCAAUGUUACUGCGGUGCUGUGUAAUAGCAGCACCAUUAACAUAUAUAUCUGUGUGUAUAUAUAAUUGCCUAUUCCGAUUGCUGGUGCCAUAGUAACUACAACAAAUAUUUUAGGAUGGAAGUUUCUGCAUAUUGUGUCAAUGCAGAAAUCGUGCAGGCAUACUGGUGAUGGUAGAGGUCGGGGUGAUCGAAGUGAAAGGAUAUCAGGAGCACUGACCGUAUAGAAAAAAAGGACAAUGCACAUUUAAGCUAAUUUACAUUUAUUCCUAAAUAACAAAUAUAUUUAUCACAAAUACAGAAUGUGUGUAUACUUCUGUUGUUCUUGCAGCAAGUUCAGUUGCUCUUUGUAUCCAUUCAAUUCCUCUGAAUUACUUGCUCUACAUGCGGAGAAGGGGGUUGCUAGUGAAAAGAAAGUAGUUCAAUUUUAAAGCCAAAAUUAGACUUGAUUUUUUUUGUGGUGAAACUUGUGUAAAAGUAAUGUAUUGAUGACAACAGAGCAUCCCUGAAAAAUCCUGAAAUGCAUAAAGGUGGAAUUCAAAUGGAAGGAGGGAAAAUGUGCCAGGGUUUUUCAGGCCUGUAAAUAAAUCCUAAUAACAGAACGCAAGUUUGUUUGUUUCUUAAGUCUAUUUUACUUUUUUGCCAUU